GGCUCCACGGUAUGAUGGUCAGCACUCUGGACUCUGGAUCCAGCGAUCCGAGUUCAAAUCUCGGUGGGACCU
rnacentral:tRNA from 1 species